rnacentral:lncRNA from 10 species
UUUUCUAAGUUUUUAUUGUGAUAACUUAAAAAAAACAAUGAAAAUGAACCUUAUGAUAUGCAAAAGCCAUCUGCAAGUUGAAUUCAGUCUGUCUGUCACUGGUUUGUGACUUGUAAUAUAUAAGAUUCCUUGGUGUGACAUUCCCAAUUUUUAGCAUGCUGUCUUUCACAUAUGUCAGGUAAACUAUGAAAAACACUUUUAUGAAAAACAAUCAGCCCCUUUUGAGUCCGUUAUUUUUCUUCUUGGUAUGCCUCUAUUAAUAGUACUCAGAGCUCAGUUAUUCUAUUUUUAUUUCAGGGAGAACAGCAUUGCACUGACUUCAGAAGUGAGGGAAAUAAAAUUCUUAAAAAAUAGUCAUUUCAUUAUUAAACUGAUGAACAAGGACAAUUUUACUUGAUGAUUGUCAGAUCUAUACACUCUAAUUAUAUUUUCCAAUCAUUUUUGUGGUGUUAGCAAGCCACGAUCUACUUUGUACAUGUCAUAAGAUGCUCGAUAGUUUAAUUCAACUAUCCUUUUUCUUUUUAACCAAAGAUAAUCAUGGAAAAACAGAGAUUAGUAUGUAUUCUGAUUUAUUUCAGACAGGCAGAAUACAGUCAGCAUUCACUUCUCAUGGCUUUCAAGCCAAUGACAUUCAUCUUCCUCAUGAAUUCUGGAUAAAUUGAGAAUUGCCAAGGAUUAGACCAUAACAGAUUAUUUAGCAAUGUGGAUUAGUCAUACAAAUCUUUUUGAAUCAGUUCCAUAAAGAUGAUAAGUGGCUAAAGCCAUGGUGCCAAAGAAAAGAACAAUGUACAAUCUGUGAACAAAAAUGCAGGCCAUUUGGCUUCACUAUAGCAGUAUCCCAGUGUUUUGCCAGAGAAGAGGAAGGGCUUGGAAGGUAAAUGAGUCCAGAGAUUCAAGCCCCAUCUGUUCAGACAGGCUGAAGCUUGCUGGGUUGACAGUGCUUAUGCUGGGCAUUGAUUGAUAUCAUCUCAAUUGGCUCUUGACAUGAGAGGCAGUUGAGGAUGUCUGAAUUAGAAAUUGGUCCUAGGAUCCUGAACAUGAGCCAAGAGUAGUAGUUACAAAAAACAAAAACAAAAACUAUAGUAAAACAAAGUAAGUGUCCUCUCAUUACUGCCUACGCCCCUUUGAAAACAAAAGAAGAAAAAAAAAUUAGAAAAAGAAAAGAAGAAAAAAGGAAAAGAUGAAGAAAAAGCAGAAAAAGAAAAGAAAAAAUGUACAAUGGAAUUUGAGGCUCGGAAAUGACAAAUUACCACCUAUCUAUUUACAAUGAAUAAUCAUUUACAUAUACGUGUUCCAUAUGUUCCUUUCUGUCACACAUAGUUCUUUUAUUUCUAUUGUUCUUAAAUGUUAAUUUUCUUUGACAUCAUAAAUUUAUAUUCAAUAUUGACAGG